rfam:Acidilobus saccharovorans 345-15, complete genome.
GGACCCGUAGCUCAGCCAGGACAGAGCGCCGGCCUCCUAAGCCGGUGGUCGGGGGUUCAAAUCCCCCCGGGUCCG